rnacentral:rRNA from 1 species
GGGUCAGUAGGUUGGUCGUGCCACCGGUACGUACUGGUCUCACUGAUUCCUCCUUCCUGAAGAACCGUAAUGCCAUUAAUUUGGUGUCGCGGGUAAACAGGACUGUUACUUUGAAAAAAUUAGAGUGUUUAAAGCAAGCUAACGCUUGAAUACAUUAGCAUGGAAUAAUGAAAUAGGACGAUCGAUCCUAUUUUGUUGGUUUCUAGGAUUGACGUA